CACGUAGGGGACGAGCGUUGUCCGGAUUCAUUGGGCGUAAAGCGCGCGUAGGCGGCUCGGAAAGUCGGUCGUGAAAUGCCGGGGCUCAACCCCGGGACUGCGUCCGAUACUCUCGAGCUGGAGGCAGGUAGGGGAGAUCGGAAUUCCUGGUGUAGCGGUGAAAUGCGUAGAUAUCGUAAGGAAGACCAGUGGCGAAGGCGGGUCUCUGGACAGUUCCUGACGCUGAGGCACGAAGGUCAGGGGAGCAAACGGG
rnacentral:rRNA from 1 species